GACAGAGGUGCCGAGCGUUAGGCGGAAUCACUGGGCUUAAAGCGUGUGUAGGCGGACUCGUAAGUGCUUUGUGAAAUCCCAUGGCUCACCCAUGGAACUGCUUGGCAUACUGCGAGCCUUGAGCCACUUAGGGGCAACCGGAACAAACGGUGGAGCGGUGAAAUGCGUAGAGAUCAGGAAGAACACCGGUGGCGAAGGCGCUCUGCUAGGCCGUAACUGACACUGAGGGGCGAAAGCUAGGGGAGCGAAUGGG
rnacentral:rRNA from 1 species